rnacentral:rRNA from 1 species
AACGAACGCUGGCGGCAGGCUUAACACAUGCAAGUCGAGCGCCCCGCAAGGGGAGCGGCAGACGGGUGAGUAACGCGUGGGAAUCUACCCAUCUCUACGGAAUAACGCAUGGAAACGUGUGCUAAUACCGUAUACGUCCGUCGGGAGAAAGAUUUAUCGGAGAUGGAUGAGCCCGCGUUGGAUUAGCUAGUUGGUGGGGUAAAGGCCUACCAAGGCGACGAUCCAUAGCUGGUCUGAGAGGAUGAUCAGCCACACUGGGACUGAGACACGGCCCAGACUCCUACGGGAGGCAGCAGUGGGGAAUAUUGGACAAUGGGCGCAGGCCUGAUCCGGCCAUGCCGCGUGAGUGAUGAAGGCCCUAGGGUUGUAAAGCUCUUUCACCGGUGAAGAUAAUGACGGUAACCGGAGAAGAAGCCCCGGCUAACUUCGUGCCAGCCGCCGCCGUAAUAC